AGAUCAUUUUAUGAGGUCAUCGCUGUGACAUCUGUCACCCUAUUGAUUCAGCUGGAGUUGAUUCAGCUGACUUGGCUAGCUAAGUGGGCGUCUCCUCCCUCCUUCACUGCUCUGUGUGCAUCCCUCCUGAAACUGCAGGCCCUCAGUGGAAUAGGACAACCAUCCUCCAUAGAGGAUGACCAUUCUGUGGUAAAGGGUGUGAGUGGAUACGCUCCUCUGCUAGAACCUGAUGCAUUUUUUAAUUCCUUAUGAAUUACAUCCAAGUAGUAAACAAGGACUGG
rnacentral:snRNA from 1 species